rnacentral:rRNA from 2 species
CGGGUGAGUAACACGUGGGUAACCUGCCUGUAAGACUGGGAUAACUCCGGGAAACCGGGGCUAAUACCGGAUGGUUGUUUGAACCGCAUGGUUCAAACAUAAAAGGUGGCUUCGGCUACCACUUACAGAUGGACCCGCGGCGCAUUAGCUAGUUGGUGAGGUAACGGCUCACCAAGGCAACGAUGCGUAGCCGACCUGAGAGGGUGAUCGGCCACACUGGGACUGAGACACGGCCCAGACUCCUACGGGAGGCAGCAGUAGGGAAUCUUCCGCAAUGGACGAAAGUCUGACGGAGCAACGCCGCGUGAGUGAUGAAGGUUUUCGGAUCGUAAAGCUCUGUUGUUAGGGAAGAACAAGUACCGUUCGAAUAGGGCGGUACCUUGACGGUACCUAACCAGAAAGCCACGGCUAACUACGUGCCAGCAGCCGCGGUAAUACGUAGGUGGCAAGCGUUGUCCGGAAUUAUUGGGCGUAAAGGGCUCGCAGGCGGUUUCUUAAGUCUGAUGUGAAAGCCCCCGGCUCAACCGGGGAGGGUCAUUGGAAACUGGGGAACUUGAGUGCAGAAGAGGAGAGUGGAAUUCCACGUGUAGCGGUGAAAUGCGUAGAGA